UAUAUGUUGAUGUAAAGUGCAUAAAAAAUUUUGAUUCUUUAAGUUUUGGUUCAAAUCCAUUACAUAUAA
rnacentral:tRNA from 1 species